UACACGCUGUGACUAGCAUAUCAAUAAGCGGAGGAAAAGAAACUAACAAGGAUUCCCCUAGUAACGGCGAGUGAAGCGGGAAGAGCUCAAAUUUGAAAUCUUAAAGGGUUUCCCUUUACGAAUUGUAGUUUAAAGAAGUGUUUUCUGUUGAGGUUUUGGUAAAAGUUCUUUGGAAUAGGACAUCAUAGAGGGUGAGAAUCCCGUAUUUGACCUUUACUUUCAACUUUGUGAUACACUUUCAAAGAGUCGGAUUGUUUGGGAAUGCAGUCCAAAAUGGGUGGUAAAUUUCAUCUAAAGCUAAAUAUUGGCGAGAGACCGAUAGCGAACAAGUACCGUGAGGGAAAGAUGAAAAGAACUUUGAAAAGAGAGUUAAACAGUACGUGAAAUUGUCAAAAGGGAAGCGUUUGACACCAGUGUUGUUUUUCUGAAAAUCAAUUAAAGAACUGUUUAUGCUAAGUUGUUUAGACUUUAUCAGCUAUCUAUUUAGUUUUGAGCUUUUCUUUAAUGCACUUUUCAGUUAACAAGUCAACAUCAAUUUCUUUUGCUGUAAAAAAGCUUGAGGAAGGUGGCUUGAGAUUCGUCUUAAGUGUUUAUAGCCUCUUGCCUAUGCAGUCGGAGAGAUCGAGGUCUGCAGCGUAGAUCCUUCGGGGCUAAAUGCAUUUGUGCUAAGUUAUAGCAUUUUAUAGACAACUUGUUGACUAUGAUUUGUCUUGUAGCUUACUCGCUUAUGCUAUUUUACCUACGCUUAGGAUGUUGACGCGCGUGUGUGCGUG
rnacentral:rRNA from 1 species